UACGGAGGGUGCAAGCGUUAAUCGGAAUUACUGGGCGUAAAGCGUGCGCAGGCGGUUUGUUAAGUCUGCUGUGAAAGCCCCGGGCUCAACCUGGGAAUGGCAGUGGAUACUGGAGAGCUAGAGUGCGGUAGAGGGUAGUGGAAUUCCCGGUGUAGCAGUGAAAUGCGUAGAGAUCGGGAGGAACACCAGUGGCGAAGGCGGCUACCUGGACCAGCACUGACACUGAAGCACGAAAGCGUGGGGAGCAAACAGG
rnacentral:rRNA from 1 species